GAGUACAACAUAAGAGAAACAUAAGAGAACCAACCGAAGAAAACAAAGUUCCCAAGAAUGCAAUUGUGUAGAAAAAUUGAGUUGCCAUUAUGUUAACUAUUUAAAAAAAUAAAAAUCUUAUUCUGUCAAAUUUUGAAAUACAUGCUGUUGCAGCAUAAGGGAUGUAUGUUUGUUCAUUAAAUGAAUUAUGACAAGUUAUUAAUAAAUCAAAGUAUUUGAAUUUAUUGAUUAAUUUUAAAAAUUACCUGUAAUUCUUGGAUCACUGACAAGCC